rnacentral:rRNA from 1 species
GAUGAACGCUGGCGGCGUGCCCAAUACAUGCAAGUCGAACGAAUCUUCUUCGGAAGAUGAGUGGCGAACGGGUGAGUAAUACAUAGGUAACCUGCCCCUGUGCGGGGGAUAACAGGAGGAAACUCCUGCUAAUACCGCAUAGCCAUGAGCACCGCACGGAGCUCAUGCCAAAUAUCCUUUCGGGGAUAGCGCAGGGAUGGACCUAUGGCGCAUUAGCUGGUUGGCGGGGCAACGGCCCACCAAGGCAACGAUGCGUAGCCGGCCUGAGAGGGCGGACGGCCACAUUGGGACUGAGACACGGCCCAGACUCCUACGGGAGGCAGCAGUAGGGAAUUUUCGGCAAUGGGGGAAACCCUGACUGAGCAACGCCGCGUGAGCGAAGAAGGCCUUCGGGUCGUAAAGCUCUGUUGUAAAGGAAGAACGGCGCAUACAGGAAAUGGUAUGCGAGUGACGGUACUUUACCAGAAAGCCACGGCUAACUACGUGCCAGCCGCCGCGGUAAAAC